GCUGGGUGUGGUGGCACACACCUGUAAUCCCAGUGGCUCAGGAGGCUGAGGCAGGGAGGAUCACAAAUUCAAAGCCAGCCUCAG
rnacentral:sRNA from 1 species